rnacentral:lncRNA from 1 species
GAUGAAGUUUCGGUGGCAAUUGUCACCUAGAAGUCACAUGUGGACACCGCUACAUAUAUACAUAUAUAAAGCCUAUUAACGGAAGCUAUUCACGAAAAAGUUUCGGAUAAUCCGGCCCUAUUUUCCGAACAAACCUUUCCUGUAAACAGUUCAAUAUGUACACUACUUUGUCUUCUAACGAACAAUUCACUCUGCGGGUUCACCUCCGGUGGCAUUUCUUGCAUGCAUGCAUGCGGACAAUGGUCACAGCCAUAGCUAAUUCGGUCUUUCGAUCAUACCCACAUUUCUAGACUGCUUCUUCCAAUAAAUAAAUAAAUAAAUACAGCCAUGAACAUGUUGUUGUCUUAAGAGGGACAUCUUCAGACAGCAGUCAAAAACAACCAAGUGUACCGAGUGAGACUAAAAGUUACACCAUCUAACUUUUUAAUAUGAAUCAUCACUUCGCACUAUUCAACGUUUUUUGUAGUUAGUAUAAAUACCAAUCCGGAAAUAAAAAUGUGUAUUUAUCGGUGGCGCAUUAGCUAGCAUGACCGCUAUUCCAUAAAAGCUACUUACAUAUGUGCAGAUUACAAAGGAAGGAAGUAACAUUCAGUUUUCUUCCAUGAUAAUUAAAAAUCUAAUAAUUGAACAUAUUAAAUUUAACGAAAUCAUCAUCUCACCAUUUAGGGCAUACCAAUUAGCUCAAUAAUGGAGCUUAGAAAGACUAAUUAUGGAAUGUCGUUUGGUUGACACAAAAGCUCGCUUCUUCAUGUCGUCAACUUACAAAAUCAUAGAUUCUUUCACAAA